rnacentral:rRNA from 1 species
AUGCCCGCCUCCUCCGUCUCCGGUAGCACCGGACCCGGCGGCGUGUCGCCCGACGCCAUCAUCGAGUGGCUGCAGGACGAGAUGGGCUACCCCUCCGCGCCGCCCGCGCCCGAGCAGCUGCGCAAGAUCUGCCGCGGCAACAUGCUCCCGGUCUGGUCCUUCCUCCUCCGCCGGGUCCGCUCCGAGCGCACGGUCGCCACGGCGCGCCGGAACAUCCUCGUCCACGGCGUCGCGGCCAGGCGGGCGCGGGAGGGGGGCGUCGGGGCGGGAGGAGGCGACGCGGCUGCCAGAGAGGCCGAGGCCAGGGAGCGGGACCUCGCCGCCGAGGAGGCGGAGCGGCUGCGCGGGGUCGUGCGGAGGCAGCGCAAGGAGCUGCGCGCCCGCAUCGCGGAGGUCGCGCGCGAGGAGGCCGAACGCAAGCGUGUGUUGGGCGAGCGCUCCAAUGCCAGGCACAAACAAGUUAUGCUCGAGGCGUAUGAUCAGCAAUGUGACGAAGCUUGCAAAAUAUUUGCUGAAUACCAACGACGUCUGCAUCACUUUGUUAACCAAGCAAGAGAUGUGCGAAGGUCAAGUAUAGGUGUGGCUGGAUCUGUGGAUGCGGUUGAGGAGAUGCAAUUGCAGAGCGAGCGAGAGGACCUGUACUCAACUGUCAAAAAUAACAGGUUAUCAGAAGAUCUUGUCCUUGUAGAAACCUCACGUGAAAGGAGUAUUCGGAAGGCAUGUGAAACUCUUGCUGCAGAUAUGGUGGAAAUGAUUCGGAGUUCAUUUCCAGCAUUUGAAGGGAAUGGUAUUAAUUCGAGUUGCCAGAUAGAUGUGGCAAAGCUGGGCACUGAUUUGGAUGGUGAAAUACCAGCAGAUGUGAAAGCUGUGGCAUUAGAUUCCCUAAAAAAUCCUUCCUUGUUACUGCAAUCGAUCAAUAGUUAUACAUCACGCAUGAAAAUGCUUGUACACAAAGAAACAGAUAAGAUUGACAUACGUGCUGAUGCAGAACUCUUGAGGUAUAAAUAUGAAAAUGAGCAGGUCAUUGAUGCUGCUUCAACUGAUGCAAGCUCACCCUUACCAUAUCAGGUGUAUGGCAAUGGAAAGAUUGGAUCAGAGCUGUCGACCCGGGGAACACAUGACCAGCUAUUAGAACGACAGAAAGAACAUGUUCAGCAGUUCUUAGCCACUGAAGAUGCUUUGAAUAAAGCUGCAGAAGCUAAAGCUCUAAGUCAGAAGCUCUUGCAGCGCCUUCAUGGAACUGUUGAUGCGACAGGAAAUAAGAAGCUGCCUACCGGGAACACCUCACAGAACGUCACCAACAGCAGGCACCUGGAGCUGGAUGUUUGGGCCAAAGAAAGAGAAGUUGCUGGAUUAAAGGCAAGUUUGAAUACAUUAACAUCCGAGGUACAACGUCUGUAUAAGUUAUGCGCCGAGUGGAAAGAUGCGGAAGAUUCUCUGAAAAAGAAGUGGAAGAAAAUCGAAGAGUUUGACGCUCGUCGAUCAGAACUGGAGUGCAUUUACACUGCUCUUCUACGGGCCAACAUGGAAGCGUCAGCAUUUUGGGAGCAACAACCGUUAUCUGCUAGAGGAUAUGCAUCAAAGACAAUCAUCCCUGCAUGCAAUGCUGUGGUAGAUAUGUCAACUAAUUCGAGAGAUCUUAUUGAGCGAGAAUUAGCCGCGUUUGGUCAAAGUCUGGAGAAUAGCCUAUGCAGGUUACCAGCAACUCCUCAGGCCCUUUUGGAGGCUGUAGGUUCUAAUGGUGCUACAGGGUCAGAAGCACUUGCAUCUGCAGAAAAACAGGCUGCUAUGUUAACUGCAAGAGCUGGUGCUAGAGAUCCUUCUGCCAUACCAUCUAUAUGCCGCAUUUCUACUGCUCUUCAGUAUAAUUCUGUUUCACCAGGUACAGAAGGCACAGAUUCUGGCUUAGCAUCAGUUUUGAGUGCAUUGGAGUUUUGCCUAAAACCUUGUGGUUCUGAAGCUAGUAUACUAGAGGAUCUAUCAAAAGCUAUUAAUUUGGUGCACACACGAAGAAAUCUUGCUGAGAACGAUCGUGUUUUGCUAAAUCGUGCACAUCGUGCUCAACAAGAAUAUGAAAGAGUGGGCAACUAUUGUCUCAAAUUAGCUGGUGAACAAGAAAAGGUCGUGGCAGAACGGUGGUUGCCCGAACUGAGAAAUGCAGUUCAAGAGGCGCAAAGGUGUUUUGAAGAUUGCAGGCGUGUUAGGGGCCUGGUCGACGAAUGGUACGAGCAACCAGCAGCGACAAUAGUAGACUGGGUGACGAUUGAUGGGCAAAGCGUUGGUGCCUGGAUCAACCUCGUGAAGCAACUCCACAUGGAGAUCUCAAGGCGAACACUUGCCAUGUCUUCGGCAGGUGAAGAAUAG